UACGAAGGGGGCUAGCGUUGCUCGGAAUCACUGGGCGUAAAGGGUGCGUAGGCGGGUUUUAAGUCAGAGGUGAAAUCCUGGAGCUCAACUCCAGAACUGCCUUUGAUACUGAAGAUCUUGAGUUCGGGAGAGGUGAGUGGAACUGCGAGUGUAGAGGUGAAAUUCGUAGAUAUUCGCAAGAACACCAGUGGCGAAGGCGGCUCACUGGCCCGAUACUGACGCUGAGGCACGAAAGCG
rnacentral:rRNA from 1 species